AGGACGAACGCUGGCGGCGUGCUUAACACAUGCAAGUCGAACGGAGUUACAGGAGAGCUUGCUUGAAUGUAACUUAGUGGCGGACGGGUGAGUAACGCGUGAGUAACCUGUCUCACACAGGGGAAUAACGCAUCGAAAGAUGUGCUAAUACCGCGUAGGACCACGGUGUCGCAUGGCACUGAGGUGAAAGACGAAAGUCGGUGUGAGGUGGGCUCGCGUCUGAUUAGAUAGUUGGUGAGGUAACGGCCCACCAAGUCAACGAUCAGUAGCCGACCUGAGAGGGUGAUCGGCCACAUUGGGACUGAGACACGGCCCAGACUCCUACGGGAGGCAGCAGUGGGGAAUAUUGGGCAAUGGGCGGAAGCCUGAACCCCCAGCAGCGCCGCGUGAAGGAAGAAGGUUUUCGGAUCGUAAACUUCUGUCCUAUAUGAAGAUAAUGACGGUAGUAUAGGAGGAAGCCCCGGCUAACUACGUGCCAGCAGCUGC
rnacentral:rRNA from 1 species